rnacentral:rRNA from 1 species
AAAUUGAAGAGUUUGAUCAUGGCUCAGAUUGAACGCUGGCGGCAGGUCUAACACAUGCAAGUCGAACGGUAACAGGAAACAGCUUGCUGUUUCGCUGACGAGUGGCGGACGGGUGAGUAAUGUCUGGGAAACUGCCUGAUGGAGGGGGAUAACUACUGGAAACGGUAGCUAAUACCGCAUAACGUCGCAAGACCAAAGAGGGGGACCUUCGGGCCUCUUGCCAUC